GGCUUUAGAUCUUAGCUGAGCACGGACAAAUUCAUUGCUGGAAAGCAGCCUGUUUCACCUGUGUGUUAGUAUGGUUAAGAUGAGUACUGAACUUAUAACAAUGUGUUUACAGCAUUUAGACUUUAAUGCAUGUGGCAGUUCAUAAGAAGUUCACAAUCUCACUUAUAAUAUCUUCAUCACCUACUACAAGGAUAUUUUUUUUAAUCUAUUUAUUUAACUGAGCUUGGUUAAUCAGUUAGCUGACUGGCUAACAGUGAUUUCAGCAGAGGAAGAGUCUGCAUGGAUUCCAACUGAAGAUUCCUACAAGCAAGUGGAGGAAAGAUGCAGCUUUUGACUGCAUAGAUUUGGUGGUCGAAGACUCCAACUCAGGACUUGAAUGUGGGGAGGUUGACCCUGUGCAAUCCUUGCUGAAAAUCCUUAGAGACUGAAUUCUGGGUCUUCUGCUUCUUUUCUAUGGGAGUUGGGGGAGAGGCGGGGGUUAGGCACUGGAGAAGGGCAAUGAAGUGAACUCUAGCCCACCCAAAGGUUACACCUGCCAUAUAGACCUUACACUCUUACUUAAGACAAGAGAGAAUAUGUGAAUGUUUUUGUAACAUAGCUUGCCCUAUGGCCUGGAGAGCCUGGGACAAAGCCAGUCCUGAUUACAGGAUGAGCCCCACCUGAGCAGAACCAGGUGAUUCCAAUACAAAAGGAGCAAGAAGUUGCAGUGAAGGGGGAAAACCCAGGAAACUUCAGCUAUGUCUGGAGGGAAUAAGAAGACUCCUACAGGACCCUGAGUCAGCAGGGGAGAAGCUCAGGAAGCAGGAGCUAGUGAAGAAAGCUCCAGGCAAGGAGUCUCUAAGGUGCCACAAGUACUCCUUUUCUUCGGAAAAGGGACAAGGUCCCGAGAUCAGAGCUGAUUGACUUCAACACCCUGCCAAUUAUACUGUUCAGAAGCUGGAGUCCCUGGAUGACGACCUGUUCCUGAAUGGCCAGCAGGAAAAGUUCAUCUACCUUGUUGGGAGUGGAGAACCAGGAAGCAGCAGGAACAAAUUAACUCUUACAAAUGAUCCAGAUUUACGAUCUAGCAAUAACCAGAUUAAUAUCAGAAGCACAGGCAACCUCUUCAAGAAACCCAGAAGGAAUUUGCUUGGCAAUUAAUCUAUCCACUUCUGUGGUUAGACUGUAUUUUCUUCUCCUCUAUCUCUCCUUCACAUGGAUGUGUCCAAGAUACAUUAUCUAAGAAGGAAACAUUUCUAUAACACCUUUCAUCUGAAGAUUUCAAAUUGUGGUAGAAAUAUUCCUUAAGCCUCACAAGACCAUAUGAGACAG